GAUGAACGCUAGCGGCAGGCCUAAUACAUGCAAGUCGGACGGGAUUCCGUUAUAGCUUGCUAUUUCGGAUGAGAGUGGCGCACGGGUGCGUAACGCGUGAGCAACCUGCCCAUGUCAGGGGGAUAGCCCGUUGAAAGACGGAUUAAACCCGCAUGAUACACGCAAUCCGCAUGGGUUUUGCGUUAAAUAUUUAUAGGACAUGGAUGGGCUCGCGUGGGAUUAGCUGGUUGGUGAGGUAACGGCUCACCAAGGCGAUGAUGCCUAGGGGCUCUGAGAGGAGAAACCCCCACACUGGUACUGAGACACGGACCAGACUCCUACGGGAGGCAGCAGUAGGGAAUAUUGGUCAAUGGGCGGGAGCCUGAACCAGCCAUGCCGCGUGCGGGAAGAAGGCCCUAUGGGUCGUAAACCGCUUUUAUACGGGAACAACCGCAUGUACGGGUACGUGCCUGAGUGUACCGUAGGAAUAAGGAUCGGCUAACUCCGUGCCAGCAGCCGCAGUAA
rnacentral:rRNA from 1 species